GGUCAUGAUAGCUCAGUGGUAGAGCGUUCGCUUCGUAACCGGGAGGCCGUGAGUUCAAGCCCCGCUCAUACCA